rnacentral:rRNA from 1 species
AUUGAACGCUGGCGGCAGGCCUAACACAUGCAAGUCGAACGGUAACAGGAAGCAGCUUGCUGCUUCGCUGACGAGUGGCGGACGGGUGAGUAAUGUCUGGGAAGCUGCCUGAUGGAGUGGGAUAACUACUGGAAACGGUAGCUAAUACCGCAUAAUGUCGCAAGACCAAAGAGGGGGACCUUCGGGCCUCUUGCCAUCGGCUGUGCCCAGAUGGGAUUCGCUUGUUGGUGGGGUAACGGCUCACCAAGGCGACGAUCCCUAGCUGGUCUGAGAGGAUGACCAGCCACACUGGAACUGAGACACGGUCCAGACUCCUACGGGAGGCAGCAGUGGGGAAUAUUGCACAAUGGGCGCAAGCCUGAUGCAGCCAUGCCGCGUGUAUGAAGAAGGCCUUCGGGUUGUAAAGUACUUUCAGCGGGGAGGAAGGGAGUAAAGUUAAUACCUUUGCUCAUUGACGGUACCCGCAGAAGAAGCACCGGCUAACUCCGUG